UACAGAGGGUGCGAGCGUUAAUCAGAAUUACUGGGCGUAAAGCGUGCGUAGACGGCUAUCUAAGUCGGGUGUGAAAGCCCCGGGCUCAACCUGGGAAUUGCAUUCGAGACUGAAUAGCUAGGGUACGGUAGAGGGAAGCGGAAUUUCCGGUGUAGCGGUGAAAUGCGUAGAUAUCGGAAGGAACAUCAGUGGCGAAAGCGGCUUCCUGGACCAGUACCGACGUUCAGGCACGAAAGCGUGGGGAGCAAACAGG
rnacentral:rRNA from 1 species